rnacentral:lncRNA from 1 species
AUUAAAAAAAAAAAUGAUCAAAAGCGAAUUAUUAUUCAUCGUAUCAUGUAGUCAGAUCCAACGGUGACAAAACCAAUAAAAAAUUACUGCAGAAAACAUGGACCAACCAACCAUAUAUAUCUCGAUCCAUAAUAAGAACCACCUGCAAGUUGCCCAUCCUUAAUUCUAAGUCUCUCUCAACACAUUCUCUCAUAUAUCAUUCUUCAAAAUUAAGAAAAGAAAAAAAUGAAUCACUUUCAUUUUUUUCUCUUCAUGAUUUUCUCUCUCCUCUUCCUUACUAGUACUUAUCCGUCGGGGAUUUGCGCCAUCCGGCCGGUCGGGGGCCAUUUUCCCAGCCCAGCUGCUGCUAGAGAGGAACAAGUUUUUCACCGUGAUGUAAAUAUUGUUCCGGUAGCUACGGGUUUCGAGUCCGGGAAGCGAAAAGUUCCCACAGGAUCAAAUCCACUGCACAACAAGCGAUAGCUAGCUAGCCAGCGAGCUUAAUUACUUAAGUUGGAGAUUUGGGAAGAUAUAUAUAGUUAGUUAGUUAGUUCAUGUACCAAUUUUCUUUUAUUCUUCAUAAUUACUUUGCAUGUCAAAUUAAUCUUGAGAUAUAAUUAUUACUAUUGUUGUUGAGAAUUAUUGUUGAUUCAAAAUCUAGAUGCGUGUCUAGAUUUUGAAUCACCAAUAUUAAUUAGAGAUGGUGUAUAGUAGGUAAUUAAAUGAUUAUAGUUAGAUAUAGAAAUUGGCAGCAUACAUAUAUUUAAUUAUUUAUUAAGUUGGAUUUUUUAAUUCUUCUUCUUAAUUCCGUUUGCUAUAUAUGGUUGUAUGUAUGACUUCUAAUUAAGCUUCAUAGGCUAUAUAGAGGAUUAGUUGAUAUAAUUACAAAAGAUUAUAUAUAGAAUAUUUAAUUAUAUGACUAAUUAAAUGUUAAAAGUUAAUUUAUUCCCUACUUUUUCUUGAUCAUAUAAUUUUAUUAACGUUCUCUCACCACUCGUUUGGUUGAAAAUUAUAAUUGAUUUGGAGCUUCAGUUAGAUAUAUAUAGUCCGCAUAACUAGGG